GGCGGCGUGCAUAUACAUGCAAGUCGAGCGAAUCGACGGGAGCUUGCUCCCUUAGAUUAGCGGCGGACGGGUGAGUAACACGUGGGUAACCUGCCUAUAAGACUGGGAUAACUUCGGGAAACCGGAGCUAAUACCGGAUAAUUUCUUCCCUCGCAUGAGGGAAGAUGGAAAGACGGUUCUGCUGUCACUUAUAGAUGGACCCGCGGCGCAUUAGCUAGUUGGUGAGGUAAUGGCUCACCAAGGCGACGAUGCGUAGCCGACCUGAGAGGGUGAUCGGCCACACUGGGACUGAGACACGGCCCAGACUCCUACGGGAGGCAGCAGUAGGGAAUCUUCCGCAAUGGACGAAAGUCUGACGGAGCAACGCCGCGUGAACGAAGAAGGCCUUCGGGUCGUAAAGUUCUGUUGUUAGGGAAGAACAAGUACCAGAGUAACUGCUGGUACCUUGACGGUACCUAACCAGAAAGCCACGGCUAACUACGUGCCAGCAGCCGCGGUAAUACGUAGGUGGCAAGCGUUGUCCGGAAUUAUUGGGCGUAAAGCGCGCGCAGGUGGUUCUUUAAGUCUGAUGUGAAAGCCCACGGCUCAACCGUGGAGGGUCAUUGGAAACUGGGGAACUUGAGUGCAGAAGAGGAAAGU
rnacentral:rRNA from 1 species